rnacentral:rRNA from 1 species
CCUACGGGUGGCUGCAGUGGGGAAUAUUGCACAAUGGGCGCAAGCCUGAUGCAGCCAUGCCGCGUGUAUGAAGAAGGCCUUCGGGUUGUAAAGUACUUUCAGUCGUGAGGAAGGUGUUAAGGUUAAUAACCUUAGCAAUUGACGUUAGCGACAGAAGAAGCACCGGCUAACUCCGUGCCAGCAGCCGCGGUAAUACGGAGGGUGCGAGCGUUAAUCGGAAUUACUGGGCGUAAAGGGCACGCAGGCGGUUAAUUAAGUUGGAUGUGAAAUCCCCGGGCUUAACCUGGGAAUUGCAUUUGAAACUGGAAAACUAGAGUGUGUGAGAGGGGGGUAGAAUUCCAAGUGUAGCGGUGAAAUGCGUAGAGAUGUGGAGGAAUACCGGUGGCGAAGGCGGCCCCCUGGACAAAGACUGACGCUCAUGUGCGAAAGCGUGGGGGGCAAACAGGAUUAGAUACCCCAGUAGUC